UGUUCAGAUAUUGUAUUUACAUGUCAAUUCAGUAUCAGAAUCUCAGGACUUGGCAGUAGCCUACUCACUCUCAAAAAAAAUUAAUCUCACUAUUGCUCAUCUCACUGAAUCAUUUUUCGUAGGAUUUACAUAAUAAAAGUAGGUUUUUAGGUGAAAUGGAGUCAGUUGUGCGAAACGCAUUCGAUUAGGUGUUUGGAGGAAAUGUGUCCGUCAAUGGUCGCCGUAGGAGCAUUAUUUCAAAACACUCUCUGGCUGCGGCAGGUCUGCCUCUGUUCCUCACUCGUGGAUUGUCAGGUCAGUUCUACUCAUGGUUUCACUCCCUGCCGAAGAUAGGGAUGGUUAUGCCUUGAUGGGAUUGUUUCAUAAAAGAUGAAUGUUCAUGGAAGUGACCAGAUGUGGCAGUGCAGAGUGCAAGACAUCAGUGUCAUUGAGGUCUCUCUUACAGAAGCAUCAGAUAUGUGCAGAAUUUCACAGGCGUUGUCAAGUUCUGGCAUAAACUUGGACUUCAGUCGCACAUCAUCUGCUCCAGGCUGUCUGCUGAGUGCCAUAGGAAGGGAGGAAAAACAGGACAUAAGAUCAAGGAGAUCAUGGCUGCCAUUGAUUGGAAUCCUAUCAUUGGCUCGUUGAGAGUUUGCCACCUGAAAGCACUUGUUGUGUACUUGAAGACCCCGAUAAACUCAUAAAGGAAUACCUGAGCUGCCAGAUGGUGUCAUCACUGAAAGCAGUCAUAAACAACAUGGCAGAUUCAUCUAUUUCCUCCAGCCAAAGCGACUCACCACGCACUACCAGUGACACUGGCAGUGAAGACAUGGUAUUAUGACUGAAGGACCUUAAACCGAUCCCUCAUUAGCAUUGGUAUUAGAUUAACAAGAAAUGUUAUUUAUUUGAGCUUUUGUUUAUACUUCAUUUUACCUCAUGUGGCUGAAUUGUUAGCCAGCUGGAAACCAGUAUUUUCGAUAAUGUAUUUGUUUGCCCUUUUUUUCCCAUUUAAGGCACCUAAUUUUAAAGAAUAUUGUGAAUGCACUCAUUAAUAUAUAAUAAAUACUGGAUUAAGAUAUGAUCAUAAA